rnacentral:piRNA from 1 species
UAGUAACUUGAGGACCCUGAU